UUAGUUUUCACAUACCCUGUCGUCUUUCCUUGAUACACAGAUAUACAUCAUGGCUGCCCUCAUAUGAGGUGAAUAGUGUUGUGGUCUGAGGAGCGUGGGGCGCUCGUGGUCAGCCGCGGCGAGCGCAUGCAGAGAGCGGUCUGAGGAGCGUGGGGCGCUCGUGGUCGGCCGCGGCGAGUGCGUGCAGAGAGCGGUCUGAGGAGUAUGGGGCUGGUUAGCCACAGACCAGUCAGAAUGCCCAUGCUGACCACACCUACUGUCGGAAGCACCUACAACGAGCAUGAAUGCAUUGGAACUGGACCUUGGCACAAUGGAAAAUGGUCACCCAGCCUGAUGAAUCCUGUUUCCUGUUGCAUCACGUGGACGGCCAGAAACUCCUAUUAACGGACACACCCCUUCCAGCUGUGAAGGAUUCGGACUGAUUAGGAGCCUUGCUCUUUGCUGCCAGACCUUCUCAAUAUCCUAUCAGCCAACCCUUCGCCUGUUUCUCUGACCGUCCUGUGAUUUGGAUCUCGUUUUUUGCCCACCUGGUUUGGACCCUUUCCUGUUCGAGUCUGAUCAUCCCUGCACUAAAACCCCUCUCCUGAAUACAUUUGUGUCUGCAUUUGUGUCCUCCACACCUGGCCUGUCCAUCACAGGAAAAACGUGUUUGCCAA